GCUGUUAUAGCUCAGUCGGUAGAGCGCAUCCUUGGUAAGGAUGAGGUCACCAGUUC
rnacentral:tRNA from 1 species